rnacentral:rRNA from 1 species
CCUACGGGUGGCUGCAGUGGGGAAUCUUGCGCAAUGGGCGAAAGCCUGACGCAGCCAUGCCGCGUGAAUGAUGAAGGUCUUAGGAUUGUAAAAUUCUUUCACCGGGGACGAUAAUGACGGUACCCGGAGAAGAAGCCCCGGCUAACUUCGUGCCAUCAGCCGCGGUAAUACGAAGGGGGCUAGCGUUGCUCGGAAUUACUGGGCGUAAAGGGCGCGUAGGCGGACAUUUAAGUCAGGGGUGAAAUCCCAGAGGUAAACUCUGGAACGGCCGUGGAUACUGGGUGUGUUAAGUGUGAGAGAGCUAUGUGGAAGUCCGGAUGUAGAGGUAAAAUUCGUAGAUAUUGGGAAGAACACAAGUGGCGAAGGCGACAUACUGGCUCAUUACUGACGCUGAGGCGCGAAAGCGUGGGGAGCAAACAGGAUUAGAUACCCCAGUAGUC